rnacentral:rRNA from 1 species
AACGAACGCUGGCGGCAUGCCUAACACAUGCAAGUCGAACGAGACCUUCGGGUCUAGUGGCGCACGGGUGUGUAACGCGUGGGAACCUGCCCUUAGGUUCGGAAUAACUCCCCGAAAGGGGUGCUAAUACCGGAUAAUGUCUUCGGACCAAAGAUUUAUCGCCUUUGGAUGGGCCCGCGUUGGAUUAGCUAGUUGGUAGGGUAAAAGCCUACCAAGGCGACGAUCCAUAGCUGGUCUGAGAGGAUGAUCAGCCACACUGGGACUGAGACACGGCCCAGACUCCUACGGGAGGCAGCAGUGGGGAAUAUUGGACAAUGGGCGAAAGCCUGAUACAGCAAUGCCGCGUGAGUGAUGAAGGCCUUAGGGUUGUAAAGCUCUUUUACCCGGGAUGAUAAUGACAGUACCGGGAGAAUAAGCUCCGGCUAACUCCGUG